GUGGCAUCCUGGCUAUGAUGCCUAGAAUCCCAGAUAUGUUCCUGUUAACAAAGACUACAUUACCCAGAAUCUUUGCUAUGUCCGCCGCAGAAGACUACCCAAGAUUUCACAGCAGCAUCUUUAAAGACUCUAGUACACCACUUCUUCCGUAUGUUUGGCCAAGAAUUAUCCUUGUCGCUUCCUACGCUGAACCAGGGCUAUGAUAGCCAGAAACUUGUGCGUGCUCCUCGAGGACUGUGAUAGGCAAAGUCCUCUGCGUUGUACUAGGCCAGAAACGCAGAAUCCUCAGGAGUCUCUGUGGAGCCACGGCCCAAGAGCUGAACACAGGUGUCAACCCAGCUGAAGGAGUCCUGAAGAGCCAGUGACUGAUCUGGAUAGUAUCUGUCACCUGUGACCAGGGUCUUGGAGUGAGGGGAAGAGAGGCACAACAACACAGGCAGCCAUGUCCCACACCAUUUUGGAACGGCCACUUUCCUUGGGGCUGUGACAGUCUAGAGGAGGAGACAGCUAUUGCCAAGGCACAGGGCCUUGCUUUAAGAUUUACCUGGCUGCUGGGAGUAAGAGGGGCAUAGGAGGCUGGCUAGGGAUCUACCGUGUCCUUUGAGGAGCAGCAAGCUUUGCAUCACUUCAAAGCCCUGAUGAAGGUGCGUGUUUGGUGCAGAAAUCUCGGAAGAAAUACAAGGAGACACAGAAUUCGGAUAAAAUAAUAAAAUUUCUUCUUGCAAGCGGGCAGGAAUGCCAGAAACAGAAAAGUCACCAAGUCAUUCUGCCCCAGCAUCUACACUCAAAAUGGAGAAAACUGCUACUUUACAAAAGGAACCACUCAGUAAAGCACAGUCUAAAAGCCACUGUCUGUGCCAUGAGGAUUCUAGUGGGCAGGAUGCAGCUUCAAAGCCACUGUUCUAUACCAUGGGGAGUCACUCUGGGCAGGGCACAGACUGCUCACCACAGGAGGCCAUGCACAGUUCACCCUCCUCUGAUCACCACGUGGACAAGCCCAGGCCAGCCUGCUGGAUGAUGAAGGAUUCAUGACCCAGCCAUCUUCGCCACUUCAAACAACAGGCAGAAGCAGAGUUCCUACCUGAUCUACAGCUGAGGCAAGGUGACACUGAAGAAUCAUUCAGUUGGUCCCUAGUCUGGAAAGCAACUAUAUAUGAUUACUAAAGCCACUGAGUUUGGAAUGUUGUUGUAACUGAUACGUCUUUUGUUUAUGACUUGUCAUUACUAACAACGCCACAGUUGGUAUGUUUGCACCUCUGAACAGUCUCUGAAUAGGAUAUGUUCCUAGAAGAAACUGCUAGAUCAGGUUUGCGAGAUUUUGGUAAAUAUUGUCAACUGUCUUCCUCAGAACUUAAAGCAAUUAUACUUUCACCAAUAAUAUAAUAGAGGUCUGUUUCCUCACACCUUCUCCAAUUAACCCAGCAUCAAUUUUUUUUUAUCAUUUUUGUCAGUCUUCUUUUUUUGAGGAGGGAUUACUAGGGAUUGAAUCCAAGGAUACUCUACCACUGAACUAUACCCCUAGGCUUUUUUAAAUUUGAUGUGAGAACAGGGUCUCAUUAAUAGUUGUCCAGGCUGCUCUCAAACUCACUACCCUCCUGCCUCCGCUAACUCUGCAUUUCUUUUUUUUUGGUACCAGCAAUCGAACUCGGACCUUGCACUUAUGAGGCAGGUGGCAGAACCACUGAGCUAAAAUCCCUGGCCCAAAUCUGCAUUUCUUUCAUAAUUGCCAUUGACUAUCUUCUCAUAUGAUUGGAAAAAUCAUUGGAUAUCCUUUUAUAUUAUAUUAAUUGUCCUUUAUGUAUAGUGUGUUGUAGUCUAUUAAUUUGUAGAAGCUCCAUCUAGGUUGAGGAAACUAACCUUUUGUCAUCUUUAAAAUAUUUUUUUUGAAAUAGGGUCUUGCUAUGUAGUUCAGGUAGGCCUUGAAUUCAUGGUGAUUCUCCUUCCUCAGCCCCCAGAUUGUGCACCACCACACCUGGCUCUUUAAAUUUAUUUAUUAAAAAAAUUUUUUUUCAGUACUGAGGAUCUAACUCAGGACUUUGUGUUUGUCAGGCAGGUGCAGAGCUACUGAGCUACAUCCCUGGGCCUUUAAAUUUAUUUUUAACUCAUACAUAAAAUAUAAAAAUUAUACAUAUUAAUGAGAUAUUGUGUGAUAUUUUGAUACAUGUAUACAUUGUGUAAUCUAUCUCCUCAAAAGUUUAUCAUUUCUUUAGUUUAAAACAUUCAACUCCUUUCUUCUAGUUUUUUGAAAAAUACAGUGCAUCAGUACUCACCCUACUGUACAAUGGGUGCCAGAACAUCUUGUCCUAUCUAACUGUAACUUAGUAACCACUGGUCAAACUCUUCUCAUUCUUUCUUCUCCCUCCUAUUCCCACAGCCUCUGAUAAACACCAUUCACUCUCAACUUUUAGGAAGCCAACUUUUUUUGUAUUUCACACAUGAUUGUGAUCAUGUGGUAGUUGUAAGUACCUGGCUUAUUCACUUAACAUAACAAUCUCCAGUUCCCUCUUUAUUGUCACAAAUGACAGGGUUUCCUUCUGCUCUGUGGCUCAGUAGCAUUCCGUGGUAUAUAUGUACCACAUUUCUUUAUCCACUCACCAGUUGGACACAUAGGCUGUUUCCAUUUCCUGGUUGUUGUGAACAGUGCUGCAAUAGGCAUGGGAAGGCAGGUGUCUCUUCACAUACUGAUUUCCUUCCUUUGGAUAUAUACUCAGUAGUAGUAUUGCUGGAUCACAUGGCAGUUCCAUUUUCAACUUUAUGAUGAACCUCCAUACUAUUUGCCAUAAUAAUGCUAUUAAUUUAUAUCUCCCCUGAACAGUGUACAAAGGUCUCCUUUUCUGCACAACCUCACCAGCACCUGUUAACUUUUAUCUUUUUAAUGAUGGCGAUUUUAACUGGGGUGAGGUGACAUUUGUGUGAUGAUUUUGUAUCCUGCUACAUUGCUGAAUUUGGUUAUUAUUUCUAGGAGUGUUUUGAUGACAUUUUUUGGGCCUUCUAUGUAAAGGAUCAUAUCUACAGAGUGUUCUACCCUACUGCAACAGAAUACACAUUCUUCUCAGCAGCACAUUGAACUUUCUCAAAAAUAG
ensembl:lncRNA